CUAAUGUACCCCGGACUCUGGGAUAGCUGCCCGAAAGGGCAGGUAAUACCAGAUGAUAUAACUUUGUCGCAUGACAGAGUUCUCAAAGGUCCGCCGGUCUGGGAGCAGGCGAUUUUGUAUCAGCUAGUUGGUGAGGUAAUGGCUCACCAAGGCGACGACGCAUAGCCGGACUGAGAGGUUGACCGGCCACAUUGGGACUGAGACACUGCCCAG
rnacentral:rRNA from 1 species